GUGUCAGCCGCCGCGGUAAUACGGAGGGUGCAAGCGUUAAUCGGAAUUACUGGGCGUAAAGGGCGCGUAGGUGGUAACUUAAGUUGGGUGUGAAAUCCCCGGGCUCAACCUGGGAAUUGCAUCCAAAACUGGGUUGCUAGAGUGUGGUAGAGGGUAGCGGAAUUUCUGGUGUAGCGGUGAAAUGCGUAGAUAUCAGAAGGAACAUCAAUGGCGAAGGCAGCUACCUGGGCCAACACUGACGCUGAGGCGCGAAAGCGUGGGGAGCAAACAGGAUUAGAUACCCUGGUAGUCCACGCUAUAAACGAUGACAACUUGUUGAUGGGGGCACUGGCCUUCGUUGACGGAGCUAACGCGUUAAGUUGUCCGCCUGGGGAGUACGGUCGCAAGGCUGAA
rnacentral:rRNA from 1 species